rnacentral:lncRNA from 1 species
UGGGCUUUCUUACUAGUUACUACUUUCUCAAUUCGUAAAUUCAAUUGAGAAAUUGAUUAGAUUAAUCUAUUGUAGAAAAGGAUAAACAAGAUAAAAGAAACUAAUACAAACUAAUCUUCAUUUCAUAAUUACAUCAGAUAAGUUUACAACAUAUAUAAAGAGUUCUAACUCCUAUAGAUUAGGGAUAACCGUCUACUAAAAUAACUACCUGGAGAUGGGUCAAAAACUUUUAUUCUACAGAUGGGCUAAGCGCUUUACAGAACAUAGAUAUUAAUAUAACUACAACAAAUAAUUGAGAAGUGAUUCAAUCAAUGCCGCCCCUUUAAGAAGCAGGCUGACCACGGCUGCUUAAUAAUAAGCCAAUUAAUCACCUGGAAUGUCAUCUACAAUGACCUCUUCACCAUGAACUGGAGACACCAAGAUAGCCAUAAUCGGCUUUUUACAGAACAUAGAUAUUUAUAUAACUACAACAGAUAAUUAAGAAGUGAUUCCAUCAAUGCCGCCCCCUUGAGAAGCAGGCCGACCAUGGCUGCUUAAUAAGCCAAUUAGUCACCUGGAAUGUCAUCUACAACGACCUCCUCACCAUGAACUGGAGACACCAAGAUAGCCAUAAUUGGCUUUUUACAAACAUAUCAUGACCUCGACCAUUUCUCAUCACAACUAAAGCAAAGACCCUGAGCUCUUCUUUUUUGAUGAUCACGAGAAGACAUAUCACAUCCCGACCCUAAAAUAUUUACCUUAUUUAUUAGCUUGAUUAUAAUAAAAAUUUUACUGUUUCCGUCAUUGAGGUUAUAGUUUAAUUGGUC